rnacentral:rRNA from 1 species
GGGUUGUGAGGUUAAGCGACUAAGCGUACACGGUGGAUGCCCUGGCAGUCAGAGGCGAUGAAGGACGUGCUAAUCUGCGAUAAGCGUCGGUAAGGUGAUAUGAACCGUUAUAACCGGCGAUUUCCGAAUGGGGAAACCCAGUGUGUUUCGACACACUAUCAUUAACUGAAUCCAUAGGUUAAUGAGGCGAACCGGGGGAACUGAAA